ACCAUGCUGUAUUUAGUGAUGCACCGAAUGAAAGGAUGAGUAAAGAAAGCGAAACGAUAACAGUGAAUAAUAGUGU
rnacentral:ribozyme from 1 species